UACGUAGGGCGCAAGCGUUGUCCGGAAUUAUUGGGCGUAAAGAGCUCGUAGGCGGCUUGUCACGUCGGGUGUGAAAGCCCGGGGCUUAACCCCGGGUCUGCAUUCGAUACGGGCUAGCUAGAGUGUGGUAGGGGAGAUCGGAAUUCCUGGUGUAGCGGUGAAAUGCGCAGAUAUCUGGAGGAACACCGGUGGCGAAGGCGGCAUCCUGGACCGGUAUUGACGCUGAGGCGCGAAAGCCAGGGGAGCAAACGGG
rnacentral:rRNA from 1 species